rnacentral:rRNA from 1 species
AUUGAACGCUGGCGGCAUGCCUAACACAUGCAAGUCGAGCGGAAGAGGGGAGCUGGCUGCUGGAUUCAGCGGCGGAGGGGUGAGGAAGGCCAAGGAAUCGGCAUGGGAGGGGGGGAUAACGUCCGGAAACGGGCGCGAAGACCGCAUACGUCCUGAGGGAGAAAGAGGGGGAUGGUGGGACCGGAAGAGAGCAGGUGAGCCUAGGUCGGAUUAGCUAGUUGGUGGGGUAAAGGCCCACCAAGGCGACGAUCCGUAACUGGUCUGAGAGGAUGAUCCGUCACACUGGAACUGAGACACGGUCCAGACUCCUACGGGAGGCAGCAGUGGGGAAUUUUGGACAAUGGGCGCAACCCUGAUCCAGCCAUGCCGCGUGUAUGAAGUAGGUCUUCGGAUUGUAAAGCACUUUUGUUUGGGAAGAAGAGUAGUCAGUUAAUAACUUGCUGUUUUGACGUUACCUACAGAAUAAGCACCGGCUAACUUCGUG